UACCUCUCUCAGACACACACACUUCUUCUUCAGUGGUUCAACGUGAGGGCGAGGUCAUACGUUUAACUCCGCCCACAUUGAGCCACUCCCCGAUCUGCGUACUGCAUCCAGGCCCAACUGUAUCCGUCUGCAGCCUGCAAGAGAGGGGCGCUGCCUGUGAGCGCACACACACGCACACACACACAUCGACGUCGACUAACUUUGGGGGUUUCCCGUCAGAUGCUGAUAUGAUCCCCCGGCCGUGCCAAUCCAGAAGCGUUUCUGUUUGAGUAACUAAGAUCACAUCAGUGUUUGAUCCUAGACUGUAAGUUAUCUUUAUCACAGUCCUGCCAGAUUGGACUGGACUUUAUAAUUACAUCGUUGAAGAGAUACGAAUCAAGCCUCCAUCACACACCGACCUCAACUCGGGUCAAGAGAUCUACAGCGACCACUUCAAGAGGACAACAUUCCUUGUUUGGACCAGUGGCAUUCACACAUUCCGUCGACCAAGGCCUUCCCAGACGAUAGCUGCCAGCCCCAGAGCAAGGAUGGACGUUCCAGACCGGAAGAUAAUCGCCAGUCUUCUCAAGAAAAAACUGAAGAAAGAGAGGGCUCAUCUCAUCUCUGACAAAAAUGGUGUCUGCAUCAACUGUGACCAGGGCUUUGACAACGGGACACUUUCCUUGUUUGUGGAUAAAUCUGAGGUAUUGACAUUAUGAAUCUGCAACGUGUCCCGAUCAUCAUCUGCUGAAUCAGAUAAACCCAAUUUUGGUUGUUGUACCAAUGCGAGGCUAUGAUUUCUUGUCUUUUUCUUUUAGAAGAAAAAAGUAGUAAAUUUGAGAGUGGAAAACACCGAAAGGGUACCCGUGUUUUUCACCAAGUGCUUCCCACUGCACAGUCUCAAGUGCAUCACACUUAAAGAUGAGCUCAAUGUGACCAAGGACCACCCCCACCUUCUGCAACCAGGUAAUGUAAAAAAUAGUGUAUCUUAUUGACAUUACCAAUAGCAGAGAAAUUAUUGCCCCAUCCCAGAAGGAAUCAUCUGUUUGUCAAGGCAGAGUCUCAUCCAGAUAAAAGCAGCUGUAGCUGUAUGUUCAAGCUGUGCGUUACAGUCAGUCUUUGGCAAAUAAUCAUGUUUUGGUAUCAGAGCAGGAGCAACCAGGACAGAGGAGGUGCAUCUUCAGUGCAGAUGCUGCCAAAAGACAGAAGCAGUUUAUAUCCUUUAGUUGCUCAUGUCAAAAAGUUGUCUCUCAAGCUAGUGGUGAGCUUAAGAAGGGCGUAACUUCGCCUUCCUUCCAUGUCAUGGG
rnacentral:lncRNA from 1 species